rnacentral:snRNA from 7 species
UGAAUGAUAAAGAGAAGAUAAGCAUGGGCCCUGCACAAGGAUGACAUACGAAUUUGGGUGUUUUU